rnacentral:rRNA from 1 species
CCUACGGGAGGCAGCAGUGUGGAAUAUUGGUCAAUGGCCGUAAGGCUGAACCAGCCAUGCCGCGUGCAGGAAGACGGCUCUAUGAGUUGUCAACUGCUUUUGUACGAGGGUAAACGCAGAUACGCGUAUCUGUCUGAAAGUAUCGUACGAAUAAGGAUCGGCUAACUCCGUGCCAGCAGCCGCGGUAAUACGGAGGAUUCAAGCGUUAUCCGGAUUUAUUGGGUUUAAAGGGUGCGUAGGCGGUCGGAUAAGUUAGAGGUGAAAUCCCGAGGCUCAACUUCGGAAUUGCCUCUGAUACUGUUCGGCUAGAGAGUAGUUGCGGUAGGCGGAAUGUAUGGUGUAGCGGUGAAAUGCUUAGAGAUCAUACAGAACACCGAUUGCGAAGGCAGCUUACCAAGCUACUUCUGACGUUGAGGCACGAAAGCGUGGGGAGCAAACAGGAUUAGAUACCCGAGUAGUC